UACAGAGGGGGCAAGCGUUGUUCGGAAUUACUGGGCGUAAAGGGCGCGUAGGCGGCCUUUCUAAGUCGAACGUGAAAUCCCCGGGCUCAACCCGGGAACUGCGUCCGAUACUGGAAGGCUUGAAUCCGGGAGAGGGAUGCGGAAUUCCAGGUGUAGGCGGUGAAAUGCGUAGAGUAUCUGGAGGAACACCGGUGGCGAAGGCGGCAUCC
rnacentral:rRNA from 1 species